rnacentral:rRNA from 1 species
AUUGAACGCUGGCGGCAUGCUUUACACAUGCAAGUCGAACGGCAGCGCGGGCUUCGGCCUGGCGGCGAGUGGCGAAUGGGUGAGUAAUGCAUCGGAACGUGCCCAGUAGUGGGGGAUAGCCCGGCGAAAGCCGGAUUAAUACCGCAUACGACCUGAGGGUGAAAGCGGGGGACCGAAAGGCCUCGCGCUAUUGGAGCGGCCGAUAUCGGAUUAGCUAGUUGGUGGGGUAAAGGCUUACCAAGGCGACGAUCCGUAGCUGGUCUGAGAGGACGACCAGCCACACUGGGACUGAGACACGGCCCAGACUCCUACGGGAGGCAGCAGUGGGGAAUUUUGGACAAUGGGGGCAACCCUGAUCCAGCCAUGCCGCGUGCGGGAAGAAGGCCUUCGGGUUGUAAACCGCUUUUGUUCGGGAAGAAAUCCUCUGGGCUAAUACCCCGGGGGGAUGACGGUACCGGAAGAAUAAGCACCGGCUAACUACGUG